AGAACGAACGCUGGCGGCAGGCUUAACACAUGCAAGUCGAGCGCCCCGCAAGGGGAGCGGCAGACGGGUGAGUAACGCGUGGGAACGUACCCCCCGGUUCGGAAUAACUCAGGGAAACUUGAGCUAAUACCGGAUACGGCUGGAAGGCGAAAGAUUCAUCGCCGGGGGAUCGGCCCGCGUCCGAUUAGCUAGUUGGUGUGGUAACGGCGCACCAAGGCGACGAUCGGUAGCUGGUCUGAGAGGAUGAUCAGCCACAUUGGGACUGAGACACGGCCCAAACUCCUACGGGAGGCAGCAGUGGGGAAUAUUGGACAAUGGGCGCAAGCCUGAUCCAGCCAUGCCGCGUGAGUGAUGAAGGCCUUAGGGUUGUAAAGCUCUUUCACCCACGACGAUAAUGACGGUAGUGGGAGAAGAACGCCCCGGCUAACUUCGUGCCAGCAGCCGC
rnacentral:rRNA from 1 species